GGGUGAGUAAUGCGUGACCAACCUGCCCCAUGCUCCAGAAUAGCUCUUGGAAACGGGUGGUAAUGCUGGAUGCUCCAACUUGACGCAUGUCUUGUUGGGAAAGUGUUUAGUGGCAUGGGAUGGGGUCGCGUCCUAUCAGCUUGUAGGCGGGGUAAUGGCCCACCUAGGCUUCGACGGGUAGCCGGCCUGAGAGGGCGGACGGCCACAUUGGGACUGAGAUACGGCCCAGACUCCUACGGGAGGCAGCAGCU
rnacentral:rRNA from 1 species